GGAGAGGUGGCCGAGAGGCUGAAGGCGGCGGUUUGCUAAACCGUUAUAGACGUUAAACUCUAUCAGGGGUUCGAAUCCCCUCCUCUCCGCCC
rnacentral:tRNA from 1 species